GGGGCUGUAGCUCAGUGGUAGAGUAUUUGCCUGGCACGCACAGGGCCCGGGUUCACCCCCAGCACUA
rnacentral:tRNA from 1 species